UUCAGCACAGGUUACGCUCAGGGACUUGAACUUGUCUGUGGGGUGUUCUCAGAUCCCCAGGGCAGGCCCUGGUGGCACCAUGGGACAUAAAGGUCAGAUCCGGAGCGGGGACAGGAACAAAGGCGGUUGUCCCCCACUCUACCUCCCAAGCCCGCCAGUCGCUCCUGGUUCCUGAGGACACACACUACGAGGGAGAGCAGGGAAAGCCGUUCCAGAGAACCAGAGACUCCUGCCUGGCCCUGUCUCCUCUCGGAGCAGCAUGGCCCAGUCCAUAGGGUCAGUCGGUGGUCACCGGAAAACACACCUUGCUUUGGAGACAGUGGGAGGUCGGGGCCUGCUAUGGGGGUGAACGUCAGUGAAGGUCAGGGGUCACCAGCGUGAAGAGUGGGUUCGGACACAUCUUGGGUGGAGAUCUGUCCCAGGCUACCUGGGUCCUUCAUCCAUCUCCUGGCGCUGUGUGCUCAGGCCACGGUCCACUCUACGAUCUGAUCCACACCAUGAAAGGCUUUAGUGGCUCUGGCCCAACCUAGUCUGCACCCAGCAACCCUGGCUGGUGCCCCAUGGCCCACCGCCAGCCCACUCUGGUACCCAGGGCAAGGCCUCAGGCUCCUGAUCUCACAGUCUGGCGGCCCCACAGCCAUCAAAGGCCACAUCGCUAGGCAGGGGGCUAAAAAUAUGCAGAGAGUAAUUUCUCAUUACAGAAUAAAUUGUACCAAAUUGCC